rnacentral:misc_RNA from 1 species
UUAAGUUCAGCGGGUAUCCCUACCUGAUCCGAGGUCAACCAUAGAAAGUUGGGGGUUGCUGGCCAGCCUCCGCCGGGGCCCUGUAGCGAGAAGAAUUACUACGCUCAGAGCCCGACGCGCCGCCACUGAUUUAGAGCCCGCCGGGUGACCGGCGAGGCCCAACACCAAGCAGUGCUUGAGGGUUGUAAUGACGCUCGAAC